GACGAACGCUGGCGGCGUGCUUAACACAUGCAAGUCGAACGGAAAGGCCCUUCGGGGUACUCGAGUGGCGAACGGGUGAGUAACACGUGGGUGAUCUGCCCUGCACUUUGGGAUAAGCCUGGGAAACUGGGUCUAAUACCGGAUAGGACCAUGGCAUUCAUGUGCUGUGGUGGAAAGCUUUUGCGGUGUGGGAUGGGCCCGCGGCCUAUCAGCUUGUUGGUGGGGUAAUGGCCUACCAAGGCGACGACGGGUAGCCGGCCUGAGAGGGUGACCGGCCACACUGGGACUGAGAUACGGCCCAGACUCCUACGGGAGGCAGCAGUGGGGAAUAUUGCACAAUGGGCGCAAGCCUGAUGCAGCGACGCCGCGUGAGGGAUGACGGCCUUCGGGUUGUAAACCUCUUUCGCUCACGACGAAGCGCAAGUGACGGUAGUGGGAGAAGAAGGACCGGCCAACUACGUGCCAGCAGCCGCCGUAACAC
rnacentral:rRNA from 1 species